AUUAAUGCUACCCUUAUCCGCGUAUUAAGCGGUAACCACCUAAGUAGUGGAAAGUGGAAACUGAAAUACUGGACGAGUACUGUCAGUGGGAGAAAUUGCAGGAUACAGCGUUAUUAUUAUAUUUUUUUAAAAUUACUCAACAACGAACCGUAAUCUGAUGAGAUCGUAUGCUUAUGGUUCAAUCUACUAAAUACGGGUGACGCAAACUCCAUACUUGAUUGAUUUUCUCUGCAAAUUACUCAAGGUUGAAUUUACAAGUUCUCUGUUCGGUGCAACCCCGGGGAUUCAAACUGAAUUGCGCUACAUACUCGAUUGAUUCAAUCUGCAAUUACUCAAAGUGUAUUCUAACGUCGUCGCCGUUGCAAGACAAGAUCGAUCUGGAUGGACUUUCUUGUACUGAAAUUCUGGGUUAGCUGCAAGUGUAAUCCAGCAAGAAGAAUUUCUAACGUUGUCGGAUCGAUUUGGAUGGACUUUCUUGUACUGAAAUUAUGGGGCUAGCUGAUGCUGCAAGUAUAAUCCAGCUAGAACAAUUUCAAACCCCAGCAGAUGCUAUUGGAAUUAACAAUCAUGUUGCUGCAUCUGAACCUACUUUGGUGUUCCUAGAGUGACAUUGCCUCAUAGGUGUAUCCAUUACAUUUCAAACAAAACAAAUUUGGCUAAAUCUCGACUUCCUAAUUCAGACUCGGGAUGGUCAACCAAUGUGAAAUUUGAUGCAAAGGGGGUGGUUAUAAUCACAGGUAUGAACUCGUAAUUUGUUUUUGCUAAUUGAGGUCUGCAUAUGUGCUCUUAGCAUUGCUUAUGGCUUUUGAUAUGUUCUUAUUCUGUGUGACAAGGUGUGAAAUUAUUAAUAGUAUAUCUAUAUUGUGACGUUAUCAUAGGAUAGAGAUGAACAUUAGCUAAAAGAUCUUGUGAUCUGAUAAUGAUGUCUUGUUUUAGAAGUGCAACUUUCUUUAGGGUAAAGAACUGAUCAUCUCAAUUGUGCAAUUUUCUGCAGCCCAUCUUUCAUCUCUUUACCCUCCUCUUAUUCCAUUAAACUUCUCACUGUACUUUCUAUUGUAGUUUAUGUAACCAGCUCAAUUUAUACCAGUUCUAAGAACUUGUGUUACCAAAAUAGUGUUCUGUGGCUGGUCAGAAUGCAUUGGCCAUGCUGAUAUUGGCUCUCCCAUGUUGAUGCUCUCCAUGCACGAGUUCCACCCACAGUGACUCGUGAACCCUCCCGUUGAUGGGUGUGCUAGCUUUAUUGGAUAAGAAAACUUUGUUGGAAAAGACUACUCUAAUUUUUGUUUGUUUUUGUGCUAGCUUGUGCUUUUAACUAUUGUUUCGAUUCUUUCUAACCAGUAUAGAGCCCGUCUGUGGGACUGGGUAUUGAUAUGUUGCCGGGACUCCCCUCAGGGCCUCAAGAUAGAUGUUUUUCAAUGUAACUGCUAGCUAGUUGAAGGAUGAAGUUAAUAAUCAAGGUUAUUCUUAUCAUGUCAUAUUGAUAACACCCCUCAUGAAAAGGGGCUAUGCUGGGUGAUGUUUGGAGGUAACCCCUGUGCAUUAUUGUAGAUAUCUCAUUAUAGUGAAAACUGAAGUAGAUAACUUAUUGAGAAGAGUGAUACAGUCCUUUCAAGCUUGAAGAGGACUUCUAAAUCAGACCCUUUCCUUACUCUUUCGGUAGUUAUUAAGGCAUUGAUGACUCUCCCUCAUGUCUUUUUUAUAUAGUGCUUUUGCGUGUGUGCGACUUAUCUACCUAGCAGUCUAGCACCUGCCCUUCCAAGUUGGGCAAGUUGUAUACUAUGAGGAAUUUGUAAUCCUAAUUCGGAAAGCUAGGCAAUUUUCUGCAACUUUUCAGAUCGGUGAUCUUUUAGCAUAGCGGGUUCAAGAUGACGGUGAAGGAAAAGAAGCUAAGGAUCCAUCAAAUUAGUCCAACUCAUAAAGCUAUUAAUGAUUUGAAAAGGCCUUGUAAAAGAUGUAUUUCUUUUGUUAUUUUUUUUUUGUAAGGUUUGAAUAAGUUGAUAGUAGACAUUAUCUAAUUGACUUAUUUUCUUUGUGAUGAAACAUAAUAUUUUAGUGUGUAUUUAAUCAUUAACAUUAUUAUGUACUAGUCAUUUCUACCUAAA